GCUACAGACGACUUCCAUGUUGGCUCUGCUUUUUUUCACAGAAUGUUUGUACUUAUUUUGAUCCCUAAAGUGUCCUGCACCUUCCAAGGCUCCUGGCAUAAAAGCCUACGCGCCCGAGGAAGUGGUUGACCAUCGGAGAAAAGGUGAACCUCCUCAUUACUAGGUGAAAAGAAGGUAGCUUAGCUACGAGCUACUAUCUACUAACUGCUAUUUCAAAGACAACCCUUGAUUUGCUACAUAAAGGAGGAAAAUAAUCUAAGGACAAUGACAACAACUUUGUUCUCCAUUUGGAAGCGGCCAUCGUGAAACCGCCUUAUCAUCAUUUACGCGGCGGCGAUGAUGAAUCUCUGGCUGCUGCGACGUGUCUUCGUUUCUGACAUGGCGCUAAUCUGGCCACAUGACGAGGGGACUGCCACUUAACGGGGAUGAGAUCCACUUUGAUCACGCGGUGGAGGCCCCCCCGGGGGCUGAACCUGUCGCGCUGCCUAUUACACGGCCUCAUUUGCAUACACGGGGGCUUAUGGGUACCAACGCUGAGAUCUUGUGUGCCAACGCUCGAAACAGAGACGCCGCCCGAAAGAUGUCCGGGAAAGAAGACCCCGGCGCUGCCAGUCGCCAGCGGUGGGAAGAGCGGGCUCGUCACUUUUCAAGGUCACAAGUUCAACGCCACGGAAAAAAAAAAAACCCUUUAAAUUAAAUAGUGUGGCCCGGGCAACAAUAGCCGGCUGCCCUUGAGAGAGACACUUACAGAUGCUGCUCAAUAUAAAUGGGCUCGCAGCCAGCACGGAAGGAUUUAAUUUAAACAUUUACACAUGUACGUAUAUAUAUAUUUAUAUAUAUAUAUAAUGUAUAAAUGUUUAUAUGUAUACAUAUAUAUACUAUUACAUAUAUGUCAUAUUUUAUAUUGUUACUAUGGUACAUUUUUAGUCUACUUUAUACCUGCAUUAUCCUUUCCAUCCUCAACCUUUCCAUCUUUUGUAACUGAGCUACUGUGUGGAACAAUUUCCCUUGUGGAUCAAUAAAGUCUGGCCUAGUGGUUAGAGCAGGCCUGGGCAAUUAUUUUGACUCGGGGGCCAAAUUUAGAGAAAACAAUGUGUCUGGGGGCCGGUAUAUCUAUUUUUUAGGAAAACUAAUACAAAACCUCACAAUAAAGUCUGAUUGAAUGCUAAAAAUGUUAUGACAGACCGUCUUGAAAACGGAAUGGAAUUUUAUUUUUUUCUAUGAACGAUGAAACCCUGAAUAUUGAGAACAUGCAACAAAAAUGCAACAAACACAGCGAAAUAUGAACGUGAAGGGUAAAAAAAACAAAAAACAUCUACUAUCGGAUAUAUCACUAAGCUUUAGAACUUUCUUGUAAAAAUCUCCUUCCGCGUCUGUCCCUGACACCCACAUUUCAGGCUCUGGAAACACUCUGUGGAAACGCUCCCCACCCACACUGCUGUGACGUAGAUUACCAUAGCAACUAGUAGUGUUGUACAGUAUACGUGUAUUAGUAUAGUACAGCGAUACUAAUGAAUCAUAUUCAGUACCAUACUGCCGCUGAAAAGUACCGGUCCGCCACACCCUAAGAUUUUUUUGUUAAAAUAAAGUCAAUAAUGCAAUUUUGUCUGGUCCCCUUUAUUUAGAAAAGUAUCGAAAAGUACAGAAAAGUAUCAAAAUAAUAUUGGUACCAGGAUAACACUAGUCACUAAAAUAUCAUGCAAAAGCACAGAUUCCAACCAUUGAAAUACUUUGUAUAGUUGAAGACUUACGGUCAUUAGAAAACAUCACCGCACAUCAUAAUGGCAGAUACACUUUACAUCUUAAAGAUAUAAAAAAAUGAUUUGGGAAUGUCUGGCGGGCCAGAUUGAAAAGCUUAAUUUGCCCAGGUCUGGGUUAGAGUGUCCGCCCUGAGAUCGGUAGGUUGUGAGUUCAAACCCCGGCCGAGUCAUACCAAAGACUAUACAAAUGGGACCCAUUACCUCCCUGCUUGGCACUCAGCAUCAAGGGUUGGAAUUGGGGUUUAAAAUCACCAAAAUGAUUCCCGGGCGCGGUUACCGCUGCUGCUCACUGCUCCCCUCACCUCCCAGGGGGUGAUCAAGGGUGAUGGGUCAAAUGCAGAGAAUAAUUUUGCCACACCUAGUGUGUGUGACAAUCAUUGGCACUUUAACUAAGUCUAGAUACUUGCACUAUUACAAAAUAAA